UUUCCGUAGGUGAGCCUGCGGAAGGAUCAUUAAUGAGUUGUCAUGGGGUUCGAUGCUGGCAGCCAGUUUUUGGAUGCAUGUGCUUGCCCUUACGAUCAUCUUCUUCCAAACACCUGUGCACAUUUUUGAGGGAGUCUUGAGUUGGUUGCCGCUCUUGGGUGAUUUUCUCACAUUCCCUUAAAUCAUUAUACGCUAUUAACAAUGUUGAACGUGCUCUGUGCCGCAAGGCCAUUAAUAUAAUACAACUUUUAACAACGGAUCUCUUGGCUCUC
rnacentral:misc_RNA from 1 species